GAGUUUGAUCAUGGCUCAGAUUGAACGCUGGCGGCAGGCCUAACACAUGCAAGUCGAGCGGUAGCACAGAGAGCUUGCUCUCGGGUGACGAGCGGCGGACGGGUGAGUAAUGUCUGGGAAACUGCCUGAUGGAGGGGGAUAACUACUGGAAACGGUAGCUAAUACCGCAUAACGUCGCAAGACCAAAGAGGGGGACCUUCGGGCCUCUUGCCAUCAGAUGUGCCCAGAUGGGAUUAGCUAGUAGGUGGGGUAACGGCUCACCUAGGCGACGAUCCCUAGCUGGUCUGAGAGGAUGACCAGCCACACUGGAACUGAGACACGGUCCAGACUCCUACGGGAGGCAGCAGUGGGGAAUAUUGCACAAUGGGCGCAAGCCUGAUGCAGCCAUGCCGCGUGUAUGAAGAAGGCCUUCGGGUUGUAAAGUACUUUCAGCGGGGAGGAAGGCGAUAAGGUUAAUAACCUUGUCGAUUGACGUUACCCGCAGAAGAAGCACCGGCUAACUCCGUGCCAGCAGCCGCGGUAAUACGGAGGGUGCAAGCGUUAAUCGGAAUUACUGGGCGUAAAGCGCACGCAGGCGGUCUGUCAAGUCGGAUGUGAAAUCCCCGGGCUCAACCUGGGAACUGCAUUCGAAACUGGCAGGCUAGAGUCUUGUAGAGGGGGGUAGAAUUCCAGGUGUAGCGGUGAAAUGCGUAGAGAUCUGGAGGAAUACCGGUGGCGAAGGCGGCCCCCUGGACAAAGACUGACGCUCAGGUGCGAAAGCGUGGGGAGCAAACAGGAUUAGAUACCCUGGUAGUCCACGCCGUAAACGAUGUCGACUUGGAGGUUGUGCCCUUGAGGCGUGGCUUCCGGAGCUAACGCGUUAAGUCGACCGCCUGGGGAGUACGGCCGCAAGGUUAAAACUCAAAUGAAUUGACGGGGGCCCGCACAAGCGGUGGAGCAUGUGGUUUAAUUCGAUGCAACGCGACGAACCUUACCUACUCUUGACAUCCAGAGAACUUUCCAGAGAUGGAUUGGUGCCUUCGGGAACUCUGAGACAGGUGCUGCAUGGCUGUCGUCAGCUCGUGUUGUGAAAUGUUGGGUUAAGUCCCGCAACGAGCGCAACCCUUAUCCUUUGUUGCCAGCGGUCCGGCCGGGAACUCAAAGGAGACUGCCAGUGAUAAACUGGAGGAAGGUGGGGAUGACGUCAAGUCAUCAUGGCCCUUACGAGUAGGGCUACACACGUGCUACAAUGGCGCAUACAAAGAGAAGCGACCUCGCGAGAGCAAGCGGACCUCAUAAAGUGCGUCGUAGUCCGGAUUGGAGUCUGCAACUCGACUCCAUGAAGUCGGAAUCGCUAGUAAUCGUAGAUCAGAAUGCUACGGUGAAUACGU
rnacentral:rRNA from 1 species